UACAGAGGAGGCAAGCGUUGUUCGGAAUCACUGGGCUUAAAGCGCGUGUAGGCGGCCCGUCAAGUACCCUGUGAAAUCCCUCGGCUCAACCGGGGAAUGGCUGGGUAUACUGACAGGCUUGAGGUUGGUAGGGGUGCCUGGAACUCUAGGUGGAGCGGUGAAAUGCGUAGAUAUCUAGAGGAACGCCCGUGGCGAAAGCGGGGCACUGGGCCACACCUGACGCUAAGACGCGAAAGCGUGGGGAGCAAACAGG
rnacentral:rRNA from 1 species